AACGUAGGAGACAAACGUUAUCCGGAGUUACUGGGCGUAAAGGGCGUGUAGGUGGUGCUGUAAGUCUGGCGUGAAAUUUUUCGGCUUAACCGGGAAAGGUCGUCGGAUACUGCAGGACUAGAGGACGGUAGAGGCGUGUGGAAUUCCGGGUGUAGUGGUGAAAUGCGUAGAGAUCCGGAGGAACACCAGUGGCGAAGGCGACACGCUGGGCCGUACCUGACACUGAGGCGCGAUGGCAUGGGGAGCAAACAGG
rnacentral:rRNA from 1 species